GACGUAGGGCGCGAGCGUUGUCCGGAUUUAUUGGGCGUAAAGAGCUUGUAGGCGGUUUGUCGCGUCUGCUGUGAAAAUCCGGGGCUCAACCCCGGACUUGCAGUGGGUACGGGCAGACUAGAGUGUGGUAGGGGAGACUGGAAUUCCUGGUGUAGCGGUGAAAUGCGCAGAUAUCAGGAGGAACACCGAUGGCGAAGGCAGGUCUCUGGGCCACUACUGACGCUGAGAAGCGAAAGCGUGGGGAGCGAACAGG
rnacentral:rRNA from 1 species